GACCUUACAGUAACACAUUUCCCACGCCCCGCACCCCACCACGAGUCAGCUCAGAAGAACGCAGUCGGCCCAGAGGACCUCGGAGCCGGGCGCCCUCUGAAGCGGCGUGGGGGCAGCGCCUAGCAAUGCGCCAGACCGCCGGCCGAGGCCCCUGGGGGACGUAGCGCCCUCCGCGCCCGUGGCCCGGGUGGGUGAGUGCGCCGCGGACUACAUCUCCCUGGAUGCCUCGCCCCGCCGCUCUGCGCAGGGCCGGGCGGAGGAGGGGAGCGGGCCGGAAGCGGGAGGCGGCCGCGCCUGCGGGGAAACGGCGCGUAACGGGCGCCCUCUGGGGCUGAAGGGCGCCAGGCGGAGACGGGCCGGGCGCCCAGAGGCGAGGGGGUGAUGCGCGGGGACUCGGGACCAAGGAGGCGACUCCGGGGGGCGGGCUCGGGAUUUGAAAAACGCCUGCAGUGGGUUUGGCUGAGUUGACGCGAUGGCGCGAGGUUACUCUAUGGCCCUUUAGCCUUUGCUCCCAGUCCUAGAAAAUUCCCGCGGUCUGGAAUUCCGGGGCAGGAUCGGUAGGAAAUGGCAACGUCCCUUGAUGUGUUGUCAGCCAAAACGCGUUUGGACCUGUAGGUCGUGAAAGUUGCCACUGCGGAGAACGAGAAACGAGAGCAUUCCGAGGGCUCUGUGGUAACCCCAGAUAAACUUUGCAUCCAGUACCAGGACAGGCCAACAGUGGGGAAAUAGAGACGGCCCCCUCGGACUCCUUUCUUCCAAGGCAUGCCGAAGGAAGAUGAGCCUGGCGUGGGCAGAAUUCAAAUAAGCUGGACAGUUCUGUGAAGGAGCUGCGAACCCUGAGAUGGUAGGCAGGCUGCAGAGUAAGAUGUGUGGAUGUGUGGAUGCUGCCCCGCACCCCACCAACCCCACCCGGAGAUCUUGACUGCAUGGAGUGCUUUGGGGGUUGAGUGGCAAGGACCCGGAUGUAGUCCCUGUAGAAGAUUGAUAGGAAGUAGCAUUAAUAUCAAGCUUAUGCAGUGAGUAAGUUUCUUCUGAGCCUUUCAGUGUCCAGCUGGAAGCAUUUUUAGGUGUCUGUCACCACUAUGAAGGAUCAGGAGCAUGGAAUAGAAGAAAACAUUUCCAGUCACAUGACAUCUUGGCCAGCAGGGUUUGUGUAUGGGUUUGGGUAUCAGGGAAAAGGAGAAAUUUCUGCCCAACCAUUUGUACCCACUGCUGGUGAGUGGAGGCUGUGUCUACUCCCUAAAUAAGUCUGUUCUCAGGAACUCUAAGGAACUAUAAAGGACUUCUGUCUCUAAAUGCCUUUGUGCUCCUGCCUCUGGUGACUUGGCAAAAGGCAAAACGAUUCAUUUUGCAUUUCUGGUUCUAACACAUGUUCAUUUGAUUUUGUUGAUGUGAUUUGUUUUUCUCAUUUUAGGCACCAAAAGCCAAGAAGGGAUUGAAAGACUCCAUUGAUGAUGUUCUUGGUGACCUCCUGGAGGAUGAUAGUAAGUGCAUCUUCCCAAGAAUGCCCUGGUUUAGGCUUGCCUUUUUUUGUUUGUUUGUUUGUUUGUUUGUUUUAAAUUGAGAUAUAAUUCACAGACCAUGAAAUUCACUCCUUUAAAGUGGUACAAUUCAGUGGCUAAAUUGUAUUCACAAAGUUGUACCACUCACCACUACCUAAUUUUCAUCACCCUUGUAGAAAUCCCAUACCUAUUAGAAGUCAGUCCUCCUCUCCAUCCCCCAACCCUGGGCAACCACUUGUUUACUCUGUCUCUAUGGACUUGCUUAUUUUCAGGACACCUAUAGAAAAUGGACUCAAACGAGAACUGGCCUUUGCACCUGGCUUCUCUCAUGUGCAUAACUUCUUCAGUUCAUCUACACUGUCCCAUGUAUCAGU